GGGGAGUAUUGAAGCCCAAUCCGGAUUUGUGAGGGGGAAAUAAGUCCAAUGCAAUGAGUGGAGAAGGAAUUCAACAGCCAAUUCAAUCACUAAACACGUUUUUCAAGUGUUUCUCGUGGUCAAACAAUCACCGUUCAAACUCCAAUUUUCCCUCCACCUGAACACUCCUCAGUCACGCCGGAAUCAGUCACCGGCAGCGGCGAACCCCUAAAACGGUCAAACUAUACCUCAUUCACUUUGUGCCAUCACCCCCUAUCUGAAACCUUACUUUAAUUCAUCCAAAUUCAACUCGAUCAAACACAAAGAUCCACCAUAGUUAAGAACCCUAAUUGCUCAAACAUAAAUCAAACCAUGGAUUCAAGGAAUCAGAGCCUCAUAGGAGAAUGAUUUGAUUCCUUACACUCAGAGCUACAUACUGAUAAUUAAAAUUGAAGCAAAGAUAAGCACAAUCAGAGGAUGGAUCCCUAACCUUUAAGAUGACCUUGGCUCGGUGAAGAAGAUGAUGAUGAAUGAAACAAAACGCCCAGGAUUUGUGGACUUGCAGGAUUGUUGUUUGUAAUGUUGCAAGCUUGGUGCAGGUUUUGUAGCAGGGUUUUGCUCAUGGUUUACAAGUUGGUAUGCACUUGGUUGCAUUGUAGCAGGUUGUGGGCUUGGUAUGGUUUUGUAGGUCCAUAAGAAAGUUUGCAAGCCGGUGUAGUUGGUCUGGUUUAUCUUUGGUUUAUGCUCAGAAUUUGGCUUGGAAAUUGAAGUGCAUUGCUUGGAAUUAUGGAGUUUUCACAUUGCUUUUGGUCAUGAAGUUUUUGGACAUUUGUAAUUGGUUUAAAUGGAUGUAACUAUGCAUGUGGUUUAGGUCAUGUAGGAUAAGGCAUAGGCAUUGAUGGUUAUAUGUAAUUGAUGGAAUUGGAUUUUGUAAAUGGUUUAAAUUGUAAUUAAAAAGUAAUUUGAAAAAUGAAAUGGUAAUGACUUGUAAAUA